GGCUUUUUGUUGAAAUAGAUAAGGAGUCUGGCCUGCCCGGUGGAUUUUAUCUAAACGGUCGCAGCUGUCACUGUGCUAAGGUAGCGUAGUAGGUCGUCCUUUAAUUGGGGAAAAGUAUGAAUGGUCGGAUGAUGGAGAGUCUUUAUUGGGGGUAGUGUUCAAAUUUUACUUUUAGGGUGCAAAGGCCUAAAUUUUAUUAUUAGACGAGAAGACCCUGUUGAGCUUGGUAUAUAAUAUUCUUGGUGGGUAUUAGGUAUGUUUUUUCGGGGCCGAAAGGAAGGGAUGUGAAUACCUUCCUUGUGGAUACAGAUCCGGUAAGAUCGACAAGAAGAAGAUAGUUACCACAGGGAUAACAGCGCAAUCUUUUUGUCAAGGCCUUAUUUGAGGAGGGGGUUGCGACCUCGAUGUUGAAUCAAAGUUCCUGUGAGGUGUAGCAGCUUUGUAAGUAGGACUGUUCGUCCUUUGAAACUUUACG
rnacentral:rRNA from 1 species